rnacentral:rRNA from 1 species
CAGUAGCCGCGGUAAUACGUAGGGGGCAAGCGUUGCUCGGAAUUACUGGGCGUAAAGGGAGCGUAGGCGGACAUUUAAGUCAGGGGUGAAAUCCCAGAGCUCAACUCUGGAACUGCCUUUGAUACUGGGUGUCUUGAGUGUGAUAGAGGUAUGUGGAACUCCGAAUGUAGAGGUGAAAUUCGUAGAUAUUCGGAAGAACACCAGUGGCGAAGGCGACAUACUGGAUCAUUACUGACGCUGAGGCUCGAAAGCGUGGGGAGCAAACAGGAUUAGAUACCCCGGUAGUCCCUGUCUCUUAUAC